rnacentral:rRNA from 1 species
CCUAGUAACUGCGAGUGAAGCGGGAAGAGCUCAAAUUUAAAAUCUGGCAGUUCUGACUGUCCGAGUUGUAAUCUAGAGAAGUGCUAUCCGUGCUGGACCGUGUACAAGUCUCCUGGAAUGGAGCGUCAUAGAGGGUGAGAAUCCCGUCUCUGACACGGACUCCCAGUGCAUUGUGAUGCGCUCUCAAAGAGUCGAGUUGUUUGGGAAUGCAGCUCUAAAUGGGUGGUAAAUUCCAUCUAAAGCUAAAUAUUGGCGAGAGACCGAUAGCGAACAAGUACCGUGAGGGAAAGAUGAAAAGAACUUUGGAAAGAGAGUUAAACAGUACGUGAAAUUGUUGAAAGGGAAACGCUUGAAGUCAGUCGCGUUGACUGAGGAUCAACCUUGCUUUUGCUUGGUGUACUUCUCAGCCGAUGGGCCAGCAUCAAUUUUGAUCAGUGGAUAAAGGUCGAGGGAAUGUGGCAUCUCCGGAUGUGUUAUAGCCCUUGAUUGUAUACAUUGGUUGGGAUUGAGGAACUCAGCACGCCGCAAGGCCGGGUUUUUAACCACGUCCGUGCUUAGGAUGCUGGCAUAAUGGCUUUAAUCGACCCGUCUUGAAACACGGACCAAGGAGUCUAACAUGCCUGCGAGUAUUUGGGUGGAAAACCCAUGUGCGCAAUGAAAGUGAAGAUCAGGAUCCCUGUCGUGGGGAGCACUGAUGCCCGGACCAGAGCUUUUGUGACGGAUCUGCGGUAGAGCAUGUAUGUUGGGACCCGAAAGAUGGUGAACUAUGCCUGAAUAGGGUGAAGCCAGAGGAAACUCUGGUGGAGGCUCGUAGCGAUUCUGACGUGCAAAUCGAUCGUCAAAUUUGGGUAUAGGGG